UCCGGAAGGAGUCCUCACGCUGGCCGCGGCGUGGUACUUCAACGCCGGACAGGUUAGCGUCCCGGCGGGAGGCAGAGUCGGCUCCCUUUCACCCCAGAAGCUUUUGUUCCCGUAGUCCUGAAGGCCGCGUUUGCACGCCAGUGUGCUGGAACUUCUCUGCUGGACUCUGCAGUUGCACAAAAGCACCCUUCUCGGGCAACUUUCCUUUGAUGAUUUUCAAGGAAGCUGGGCUACGAAGUGGCAAAAGUCUCUAGGAAGCAGGAUGUCAGUGCCUCUGGGGAAACAGGUCUUUUUUACCGGCGUGGUGGCUAGCGGGGGCUGCGCCCUUUUGUACUACCUGAUACAGAAAACUUUUUCCAGGGCUUCCUAUUACCAGUUGGCGUUGGAGCAUCUGCACAGCCACCCUGAGGCACUGGAAGCUCUGGGCACUCCUCUCAGCGUUCACUAUCUCCGACUCACCGACAAGUACAACUUCGUGGACAUUACUGAUGCAAAGUUGAAGAUUCCUGUCUCUGGACCCAAGUCAGAGGGCUAUCUCUAUGUCAGCUCAUCCAGAGAUGCCCCCUUUAAGAGGUGGAACCUUCAGGAUGUCUUCUUAGAGCUCAAGGAUGGCCAGCAGAUUCCCUUGUUCAAGCCUAGUGGGGAGAACAGCAACGAGCUGAAAAAGGAGUGAAGUGCUGUAUACCUGCAGCCCACUACUUCCUGUGUGUCCAGUAAUCACUGUGAUUCAGCCAUGGACUCACCGUUUGAGCAAGUGUUCCCAGCACACCCCAUAAGAGUCAGCGCAGCAGUGACUGGAGAAAGGGCUUCACUAGAAUUGUAAGAAUUAUAGAUUUAUGAAGACUGCAGAAGAGCAAUCACAGCCAGCAAAUGGCAGUAGGGCUCCCACGCGCCUUUACUAAGCUGCUGUGUGGUCUCUGCUCACAAGCGGCUCACGUAAUACUGGACUAGGAGAGUUCCAAGCCGCGGUGCUAAAACGAGGCGGGAGAGAGACCGAUCAGGAGGAAUCCAGGAGGCCAGUCAGCUCACUCCUCCUCUUGGGGGACUGCUUACCUCAUGGGCUUUGAGAUCUAAGAUUGCAGACGUGAUGGAGACUGCCGUGCAGACAGAAAAAACAUGAGAACAGGCCUCAGCCGGGGAGGUGUGAGCUAUGCUCCAGAAAGAUGAUCUGCCAUCUGGCCAGUGUAUAGCUUAGCUGAAGAUACAGUAAAAGCCAGCCCUGGACAGGUGAGGUGCCCAGAGCGUGAAUGCCAGCCUUAGCAUUCUGCAUUGAGCUUGUAGCCAUCAGGUUCUGGAAUUUGGCUGCCCCCUGGCUUCUCUUCCUUCCAACCGUUCCCCACUCACCAAUCCAGGGAUUUAGUAAUACCUGAUGAGACAAGGUUCUGCUACUCCCAGUUUUGGUAAAGUUGCAUUCGGCAAAGAUGAAGCUAAGCUAAAUGACACCCACGUGAAGCAGCCAGCACGUCACCGAUGGUGGCCUCUGCCCCCUGGCACAGUGCUAAGGCCAGGGCGAUGCUCCGUUGACAGCGGCUCCACAGGGCUUUCUGAAGGCUGCUCGACUCUGCUGUUUCCAGUCUGUCGUAUGAAAAAUAUGAAGAAAUACUUACCAAUCGCUGGUCUUACAGGCGAGGCAGCGUUUAUACUGCUUGUUGGGAGGCUUGGGCAAAAGACGCUGUAUCCACAGGAGGCCCCGUGAAGGGGCUGGGGGGGCGGUCAAGGAGGAGGUGAGAGGGUGAUGACGGGAAGAGCCUCGCCUCCUCGGCAACCUGUACCCUCCAGGCUUGCCUUUCCGCCGACUUCAGCAGUUGCUCAGUCGAAAGUGCUGUCAGGAAUGUGUACAGAAAAACUGACAUUUUACGAUCCAGGGUUCAGAAGUGGGAGUUGAAAAUAUUAGAAACAUGCCUCAGUAUCAUAGAUCACAUGCGGUAUAUUAAAUGCCUUUCAUUAUUAAAUAAUGAGCAUUCAAGGCAGAACUAUUAUACUUAUCUUUUAAAUUUGUGUGUCAGUAAUUACCUUGCAGUCUUAAUAAGGUAAUUUCUUACUUCCAAAUUAUUUUUAUGAAGUAAGAAACUAUAGGCCAGUCCCUCUCAUGAAUGUUGCAAAAUUCUAAAUAAAAUAUUAGCAAACUGAAUCCAGUGACAUACAGUAAGUGGUAUAUCGUAUUUGUCACAAAAUAUUUUGGUGCCUCCCUUGCACUGCCUCCCUUCUCUAUGGGGAGAUUAUACUUCCCUGCCUGUUGAACUUACCAGUGACCGUGUGAUUUGUUCUGGCCAGUGAACUGUGAGUGGAAAUGACAUGCAACUUCUGAGUAAGAAGUUUUAAGUGCCAGCCCUUGGUUCGCCAUGUCUUGUUUGCUGUCUCCUGAGAUCGGAAAUGUUCCAGAUGGCAGCUAUUCCAAGGACCUGGGUUCUGGAAUGAAGAUGACAUGUAGCAGAGCUACAGCUGAGCCACAGUGGGACAGGGUAGCAUGAGCAAGAAAUAAACCCUUCUAAGCCCUGAAGAUUGGGGGCCAUUUUCACUCCAGCUUAACCAGACUGUUAACAGUGACUAAGAGAGGUUUAUUCCAGGAAUGCAAGGGUGGUUCCAUAUUAGGAGAGCCACUAGUAUAGUUCAUCACAUCAGUAAAGCUAAGGAGGAAAAUUAUAUGCUAAUUUUAAUAGAUACAAAAAGGCAUUUGACAAAAAUUAAGUAUUCAUAUUAAAAAUAAAUGAGAAUUAAUAGAUAAGGGAUGUGUGUGUGUGCAUAUAUAUAUUAUAUUCUCAAA